GGCCUGAUAGCUCAACCGGUUGAGCACUCUUCUGGUCAGCAUCUCAGACGUCAGGGUUCAAAUCCCUGUUCAGGCCU
rnacentral:tRNA from 1 species